rnacentral:rRNA from 1 species
UACGGAGGGUGCAAGCGUUAUCCGGAUUCACUGGGUUUAAAGGGUGCGUAGGCGGGCAGGUAAGUCCGUGGUGAAAUCUCUGAGCUUAACUCAGAAACUGCCAUGGAUACUAUUUGUCUUGAAUAUUGUGGAGGUAAGCGGAAUAUGUCAUGUAGCGGUGAAAUGCUUAGAUAUGUCAUAGAACACCAAUUGCGAAGGCAGCUUACUACACAGUUAUUGACGCUGAGGCACGAAAGCGUGGGGAUCAAACAGG